rnacentral:rRNA from 1 species
AGCGAACGCUGGCGGCAGGCCUAACACAUGCAAGUCGAACGAACCUUUCUGGGUUAGUGGCGGACGUGUGAGUAACACGUGGGAACGUGCCUUUAGGUUCGGAAUAACUCAGGGAAACUUGUGCUAAUACCGAAUGUGCCCUUCGGGGGAAAGAUUUAUCGCCUUUAGAGCGGCCCGCGUCUUAUUAGCUAGUUGGUUGAGGUAAUGGCUCACCAAGGCGACGAUCAGUAGCUGGUCUGAGAGGAUGAUCAGCCACAUUGGGACUGAGACACGGCCCAAACUCCUACGGGAGGCAGCAGUGGGGAAUCUUGCGCAAUGGGAGAAAGGCUGACGCAGCCAUGCCGCGUGAAUGAUGAAGGUCUUAGGAUUGUAAAAUUCUUUAACCGGGGACGAUAAUGACGGUACCCGGAGAAGAAGCCCCGGCUAACUUCGUG